AUACGUAGGGUGCGAGCGUUAAUCGGAAUUACUGGGCGUAAAGCGUGCGCAGGCGGCUUUGCAAGACAGAGGUGAAAUCCCCGGGCUCAACCUGGGAACUGCCUUUGUGACUGCAAGGCUAGAGUACGGCAGAGGGGGAUGGAAUUCCGCGUGUAGCAGUGAAAUGCGUAGAUAUGCGGAGGAACACCAAUGGCGAAGGCAGUCCCCUGGGCCUGUACUGACGCUCAUGCACGAAAGCGUGGGGAGCAAACAGGAUUAGAUACCCUAGUAGUCC
rnacentral:rRNA from 1 species